rnacentral:rRNA from 1 species
UACGUAGGGUGCAAGCGUUGUCCGGAAUUAUUGGGCGUAAAGAGCUCGUAGGCGGCUUGUCGCGUCGACUGUGAAAACCUGGGGCUUAACUCCGGGCCUGCAGCCGAUACGGGCAAGCUAGAGUUCGGUAGGGGAGACUGGAAUUCCUGGUGUAGCGGUGAAAUGCGCAGAUAUCAGGAGGAACACCGGUGGCGAAGGCGGGUCUCUGGGCCGAAACUGACGCUGAGGUGCGAAAGCGUGGGGAGCAAACAGG